GAUGAACGCUGGCGGCGUGCUUAACACAUGCAAGUCGAACGAAGCACCUUAUUCUGAUUUCUUCGGAAUGAAAAAUUUGGUGACUGAGUGGCGGACGGGUGAGUAACGCGUGGGUAACCUGCCUCAUACAGAGGGAUAACAGUUAGAAAUGACUGCUAAUACCGCAUAAGACCACAGCACCGCAUGGUGCAGGGGUAAAAACUCCGGUGGUAUGAGAUGGACCCGCGUCUGAUUAGGUAGUUGGUGGGGUAACGGCCUACCAAGCCGACGAUCGGUAGCCGCCCUGGGAGGGUGACCGGCCACAUUGGGACUGAGACACGGCCCAAACUCCUACGGGAGGCAGCAGUGGGGAAUAUUGCACAAUGGGGGAAACCCUGAUGCAGCGACGCCGCGUGAGCGAUGAAGUAUUUCGGUAUGUAAAGCUCUAUCAGCAGGGAAGAAAAUGACGGUACCUGACUAAGAAGCACCGGCUAAAUACGUGCCAGCCGCCGCGGUAACAC
rnacentral:rRNA from 1 species